GUGCCAGCAGCCGCGGUAAUACGGAGGUGGCAAGCGUUGUUCGGAAUUACUGGGCGUAAAGGGCGCGUAGGCGGCAAAACAAGUCAGAUGUGAAAGCCCCGGGCUUAACCCGGGAAUUGCAUCUGAAACUGAUUUGCUUGAGUUCUGGAGGGGGUAGUGGAAUUCCCAGUGUAGCGGUGAAAUGCGUAGAUAUUGGGAGGAACACCUGCGGCGAAGGCGGCUACCUGGACAGUAACUGACGCUGAGGCGCGAAAGCUAGGGGAGCGAACAGGAUUAGAUACCCCCGUAGUCC
rnacentral:rRNA from 1 species